UGCACCAAGUGUGUGCGGAGUGCGCCACAAUUGGGUGGUGUGCAAGUGCGCCGCAAUUUGGCGGUGUGCGAGGGCACAUAGCAAUAGAAACUGCUAUUGUAAACACAAUUGAUUAUUGAGAAUCAAUAAAGGGAGCUAUAGCUACUCUAUAGCCGCAGAGGUAGGCAUAAUUGGCCGAACUGCGUGAACAAAGAUUCUGUGUGGUUUAUUCGUGCUUUCUCGCACUAUCGUACUGCCUGAAUCAAGUUGUGCCCUUUUUAUUCCUCAACACGGUCCAUUAGCAUAGGGUGGAUAAUCCUCUUCUGGCCAUUCCUCGUAUGUCACUGCCCAUUUACCAUAUCCUAAAGACGCUGUAUGAACCCCAUAUUCACAUAUGGCCACUGUUUUCAACACAACACGGUCGUAGUUAUCCAUUGCUAGUGUUGUCAAGAUCCGGAUCCUAGAAUCACAUACAAUCUUGCGAUCUUUCUGGUGGGAGAAAGAUGUAUAGAGAGGGAUGGAGUCCAUCCAGUUCUAUUUUAUUUCAUUCUAAGCCAUUCUAUCUUAUUUAAGAGAAAUCCUACUUAGUAGGAGACGAAUAACACACCUAUAUAAAAUUUCAAAUAAAUCACCCAUGUAUAAUAACAAACUAGUUUUAUACCCGUGCAUUCACGGGUGACAUUU